rnacentral:rRNA from 1 species
AUUUGCCGCGGGGCGAAAAAAAACCUUUACACACAGUGUUUUUUGUUAUUACAAGAACUUUUGCUUUGGUCUGGACUAGAAAUAGUUUGGGCCAGAGGUUUACUGAACUAAACUUCAAUAUUUAUAUUGAAUUGUUAUUUAUUUAAUUGUCAAUUUGUUGAUUAAAUUCAAAAAAUCUUCAAAACUUUCAACAACGGAUCUCUUGGUUCUCGCAUCGAUGAAGAACGCAGCGAAAUGCGAUAAGUAAUAUGAAUUGCAGAUUUUCGUGAAUCAUCGAAUCUUUGAACGCACAUUGCGCCCUCUGGUAUUCCAGAGGGCAUGCCUGUUUGAGCGUCAUUUCUCUCUCAAACCUUCGGGUUUGGUAUUGAGUGAUACUCUUAGUUGAACUAGGCGUUUGCUUGAAAUGUAUUGGCAUGAGUGGUACUGGAUAGUGCUAUAUGACUUUCAAUGUAUUAGGUUUAUCCAACUCGUUGAAUAGUUUAAUGGUAUAUUUCUCGGUAUUCCAGGCUCGGCCUUACAUAUAAACAAACAAGUUUGACCUCAAAUCACGUAGGAUUACCCGCUGGAACUUAACCAUAUCAAUAAACCGGACGAAAAGAAACCAACAGGGGAUUGCCUUUAUUUUCGGGGGAGUGAGACGGCAAAAGCUCAAAUUUUGAAAUCUGGCACCUCUCCGUGUGCCGAGAUGUAUUUUUUAAAAAAGGAAACUUUUGAGAU